rnacentral:tRNA from 1 species
GGGAAGGUGGCUCAGUGGUAGAGCGCUUGCCUUACAUGCAUGAGGCCCCCUUCCUC